rnacentral:rRNA from 1 species
UACGGAGGGUGCGAGCGUUGUCCGGAAUCACUGGGCGUAAAGGGCGCGUAGGCGGCCUGGUAAGUAGGGGGUGAAAUCCUGCGGCUUAACCGCAGGGCUGCCUUCUAAACUGUCAGGCUUGAGCACGGUAGAGGCAGAUGGAAUUCCCGGUGUAGCGGUGGAAUGCGUAGAGAUCGGGAAGAACAUCAGUGGCGAAGGCGGUCUGCUGGGCCGUUGCUGACGCUGAGGAGCGAAAGCGUGGGGAGCGAACAGG